CAGUCGCCGCGGUAAUACGUAGGGUGCGAGCGUUAAUCGGAAUUACUGGGCGUAAAGCGUGCGCAGGCGGUUUUGUAAGACAGGCGUGAAAUCCCCGGGCUCAACCUGGGAAUGGCGCUUGUGACUGCAAAGCUAGAGUGCGGCAGAGGGGGAUGGAAUUCCGCGUGUAGCAGUGAAAUGCGUAGAUAUGCGGAGGAACGCCGAUGGCGAAGGCAAUCCCCUGGGCCUGCACUGACGCUCAUGCACGAAAGCGUGGGGAGCAAACAGGAUUAGAUACCCGUGUAGUCCCUGUCUCUUAUAC
rnacentral:rRNA from 1 species